GGCCCAAACUUGGAGUUGAGUAUAUUGGUAGGAUUAGCUGACCAUAAUAAUCUACUCUACUUCGAGUUUGCGCCC
rnacentral:pre_miRNA from 1 species